AAACCCCUCUUUCAUCUCCAUCACUUCCUUCAUUCUCUCUCUUUCUCUCUCUUUCUCUUUCUCUCUUUCUUUCUCUCUGAUGCUAUCUAUAACUUCCAUAGCCCCAAUUCAUCACUCACCUCACUACCCUCUUGCAUCAUCUCCACUUUCUUCACCUCUCAAUGUGGUUUCUUCAACAAGGCAUGACCAAUAGGUGAAGAUGAUGAUAGUGCAUCCUCGUGACCAAGUAGGUGGAAGAGAAACACGCAAGGAUUUGCUGCCUGCAACUUCUUCUUCAAAAACAACAAACUGUGCAUGCAUGAAACAUGGCCAGUUGCCUACAUAGCACGCUGCAAAAAUUAAUGAUGUCACGUGAAACUACGGAUGAACAAGAAAACUUAUAUAUAUAUAUAUAUAUAUAUAUAUAUAUAUAGAUUUUUAUUAUCUAGGAAGAAAAGUAAUGUAGGAUGUUAUUAAUGUUGUGUUUGGGGGGAUGUAUUUGACUAUUUUGUUUCGUUUUAAUAAGUCUUGUUAAAUUGGUAGUUUUGUUGAGAUAAUAUAUAAAGCAAUGUAUAUGAGAAGGAGAUUGUGGAAUUUUCUCGCCAUUAAUUAGUCAAUACCAACCAUAAUUAAGCGCAAAUACCAAUCUUUUCCAUGGCACCAACGUCAUCUACGCUUUGAAUUAAUGAAUUAAUGAGAG
rnacentral:sRNA from 1 species